GAUUAAUUCAAUUUGGUUAAUUUAAUAAAAAUUCAUAAAUUUUUUAUGUUUUCUUUAAAAAGUAUAGUUCAGAAAAUAAAAUUUAUUUAAUAAUAAAAAAUUAUUGAAAUUUAUCAGAAAAUUUAGCUAAUUUUGUGCCAGCAGCAGCGGUUAGACAAAUAAAACUAUUAUUUAGUUAAAAUCUUAAAAAAAAUUAAAAAACUAAUUAAUUUUAAUUUUAAUUAAGGUGAAAUUUUUUAAAAAAAUGAAAUUUUUUUCAAAGAAAAAAUUCUUCUUAAAAACUAGGAUUAGAUACCCUAUUAUUUAGAAUAAUAUGUUGUUAGUAAAUAUUUUAAUGAAAACAAAAAAUUAUGGCGGUACUUUAAGCUUUUCAGAGGAAUUUGCUCUUUAAUGGAUAAAACGCCUAAAUCUUACUAAAAUUAGUAAAGUCAGUUUGUAUACCACUAUAAAAGUAAUAUUUAGAUAUUAUUACUUUAAUUUUUUAUUUAAAUAAAAAAUAAAUUAAGUCAUGGUGCAGCUAAAAUUUUAGAGUGAAGUGAAUUACAUUUCUUUUUAGAAAAUUUUAAAGAAUUUUAAUUUAGGAUUUGAAAGUAAAGAUUCAAUAAAAUGGUAUUUUGAAUUAAGUUCUGAAGUAUGUACAUAUCGCCCGUCGCUCUUUUUUGAAGAUAAGUCGUAACAAAGUUAAAAUACUGGAAAGUGUUUUA
rnacentral:rRNA from 1 species